rnacentral:rRNA from 1 species
ACGGGAGGCAGCAGUGGGGAAUAUUGCACAAUGGGGGAAACCCUGACGCAGCGACGCCGCGUGAGUGAAGAAGUAUUUCGGUAUGUAAAGCUCUAUCAGCAGGGAAGAAAAUGACGGUACCUGACUAAGAAGCACCGGCUAAAUACGUGCCAGCAGCCGCGGUAAUACGUAUGGUGCAAGCGUUAUCCGGAUUUACUGGGUGUAAAGGGAGCGUAGACGGCGAGGCAAGUCUGAAGUGAAAUGCGGGGGCUCAACCCCUGAACUGCUUUGGAAACUGUUUUGCUAGAGUGCAGGAGAGGUAAGUGGAAUUCCUAGUGUAGCGGUGAAAUGCGUAGAUAUUAGGAGGAACACCGGCGGCGAAGGCGGCUUACUGGACUGUAACUGACGUUGAGGCUCGAAAGCGUGGGGAGCAAACAGGAUUAGAUACCCUGGUA